GGGUUGCUGUUGACUACAACUGAGGUGUGGAUCCGGACCUGGUGGGUGAUUUGGAGAUGCCAGGAUCCACCAUACCAUACCACCUGGUUGGUAUUAAGGACUUCGGCUACUUAGCCAGCACCAUGUCUGCUUGCACACUAGCAUGCUGCCCGCCGUGACGAUAUGGACUGAACCUCUGAACUUGGGAGGACUGUGACCCCAGGGUAUGACCUAGGGCGAUUAAGGUCACUCAAGGAAUGAAAUGAGAGUCUGGGGUGAGACUCCAAUCCCAGGCCCCCACCACAAACUUCACCAACGGCUUCAUUCUUCGCUCCUGAGAAACCAGUCCCAGGCUGUCAAGGAAUACCUGGUUCCUGACUAUCCAAGGAUCUGAAAUUAUCUAGGAGGAGACAUGUCUGUAAGGGAACGGAGGUGAAAAAGAUCCAUCCUGAAUUUUAGCGCAUCGCCCUACAGGCCGGAUUUCCACGCUGAAUAAAGAGGGCAGAGUGAACUAAACGCCCGCAUUCAUCUAGCUUUCCUCCCCCGAGUGUGAAUGCAAUGGGACCAGCUGCUGCCUCAGGCCCUUGGCAUCAUUCCAUCCCGCCAUGAAUGGACUGUAUCCCUCUAGACUGUGAACCAAAAUAAAGGGCCCUCUGGUUUGA